GGCUCUGCCGAGCUCCCAGCCAGGCCCGAGCCCGGAGGUGUGACAAGGCCUGGCUAGGGGCUGCGGAGGAGGCUGCGGGGCGCCGAGGCCGGGCACUGGGGAGCCAGCGAGUGGCUCUGAGCAGGAGACUCCCCACGGUCUCCCGCUGCACCGCUUCAGAGCCAGCAGUUGGUGGAUAAACGGAGGCAAGAACGUAUGAAUGAAUCAUUUCUGUGCCUGAGCCAUGGAGAAUUUGGAGGUAAUCUAACUUGGAGCCCAUUUCUCAGUUGUACCAUGGAGAUGAUACCUGUCAUCACGGGGUUGUUGUGAGGGUAGAAUAAGAUUCAACAAAUACCUAGCUGGCAUCUCCAACCCGUGGGCCUUGCAAGGCUGAUGUACAUCACCGCUGGGGAGCGGGCACCGGGUACCAAGGAAGAGGGAGGAGGCGCUGAUUUCCUCCCUCGGCCCGGGCUCAGGCAGGCCACGUCACCCCUGACACAGCUCCGGAACUGCCCAGCCAAGAGAAGGGUCGAGAACCUAAGCACCAGGUUUUUGGACAGAACCUGACCUAGGUAGGCUCUUCUCGUCCUUGCCCACUCCUAAGGGUCUAGUGGUCUCUGCUGGCCAAAUACUAGACGGAGAGCAGGCUGGAGGCUGAGCCCUCCCUUGGCUGAAGAGGUGUGUCCUGUUCUCACCACCUGUCAGCAGAGGGAGAGGGGCCGUUCCCAACCUCAUGGAACCUGCUUCCAGCGUGGAACGGGCCCUGUGGGAGUGGGCACCCUGGUGUCCUGUGCCGAGGGGAGAGGCGGUAAGGGGGGGGCCUGUGACACUGUGCCCACCCAGGGCUCGGGUGAGGAUGACCAGUCGUUUCGUGAAGUUAACAGGGGCUGGGUCACUCCAACUCUCCCUAUCCCAAAAGGGGCCCCAGAAACAAAAAAAGCAGGGAGCAAGCAGAAGGUUAUUAUAUAUCAUGCUUUUAAUACAAACUUAAAAAAAUCUGGAACAAUAUAAACUGUACAGAUUUGAUCAAUCUUUUUGUUUUGUUUUUAAACUAAAUCUCUAAACACACCUAUGUUCCAUUCCAAAGUAUUACACAACAUUCUGAAUACAAAACGCUUGAUUGUAUUCCUCCUUCACUA